AACGAACGCUGGCGGCAGGCCUAACACAUGCAAGUCGAGCGCCCCGCAAGGGGAGCGGCGGACGGGUGAGUAACGCGUGGGAACGUGCCUCUUGCUACGGAAUAGCCUCGGGAAACUGGGAGUAAUACCGUAUGUGCCCUACGGGGGAAAGAUUUAUCGGCAAGAGAUCGGCCCGCGUUGGAUUAGGUAGUUGGUGGGGUAAUGGCCUACCAAGCCGACGAUCCAUAGCUGGUUUGAGAGGAUGAUCAGCCACACUGGGACUGAGACACGGCCCAGACUCCUACGGGAGGCAGCAGUGGGGAAUCUUAGACAAUGGGCGCAAGCCUGAUCUAGCCAUGCCGCGUGAGCGAUGAAGGCCUUAGGGUUGUAAAGCUCUUUCAGUGGGGAAGAUGAUGACUGUACCCACAGAAGAAGCCCCGGCUAACUCCGUG
rnacentral:rRNA from 1 species